rnacentral:tRNA from 1 species
GGAGAGGUGGCCGAGCGGUUGAAGGCCCUGCUCUCGAAAAGCAGUAUCCCGGCUAAACCGGGAUCGUUGGUUUGAAUCCCACCCUCUCCGCCA